CAUAAAUUAGGUAUUCAACUUAAUUUUAAUGCUGACUCUCUACAACUUAUUUUUCCUGCAGCCUUUUCUCUCACUGUUGAUACAGGAAAUGCUCUCCUUGAGGAUGAUUCUGCAACUGAGCUCAAACAGGAAAUUGAGGGCGUCAACCCCAAGUUGUGGGCGGCCCAUAAGGAUGACGCAGGAUUCAUUGAUGUCCAGCCCUAUGUUGCUAAACUAAUAACAGACAAGUCUGUGUAUCAGAAACAGUACCCCCUCUCAAAAGAAAAGGUGGAGGGUAUUCUUCCUGUUAUUGAUAAAUUACUGGCUCAAGGCAUCCUGGUGCACACUCAUUCACCUUAUAAUACACCAAUUAAUCCAAUUAAGAAAGCAAAUGGUUCUUGGCGUUUAACUCAAGAUUUGAGAAAAGUUAAUGAGUUAGUAACACCAUUGUCUCCUAUUGUACCUGAUGUGCAAACUAUAAUUAAUUCUAUUCCUUCUGAACAUUCAUUUUUUACAGUUCUGGAUAUUUCCAGUGCUUUCUUCAGCAUUCCUGUUGAUCGCCAAACACAGCCAUUGUUUGCUUUUACCUUGGAAAAUUCACAAUUAACGUGGACAAGACUCCCACAAGGGUUCAGGGAUUCUCCGGCUGUUUUCUCUGCUGUAGUGCACGCAACGCUGAAAAAUGCCAAACUUCCUCCAAACACCUGUCUGCUUCAAUAUGCAGAUGACAUCCUCAUCCUGCCUCUAAAAUUGUCUGCAAUAUUUUGGCAGAGGCUGGUUUCAAAGCAUCAAGAGAGAAACUACAGUGGGUACAGAGGAGGGUCGAGUACCUUGGACAUGAACUGUCACAGGGCAAAGUGCAAUUAUCUGCUGACAGAGUGAAAGCUAUUGCUACUUUCAAGCACCCAUCGACACGGAAGCAGAUGCAAAGCUUCCUGGGACUGGUUAAUUAUUGCCGAAUAUGGGUGCCCAACUGUUCCAUGUAUGAUAAAAUCCUACGAACUGCUACUCUGGGGGACACAGAGGACAUUACAUGGACAGCUGAGAUGGAUCAAGCAUUCAGACAUUUGAAAUCCUCCCUCAUGAAACCUCCUGCACUCGGCCUCCCAAAUUACUCUCAAGACUUUCACUUAUACGUGCAUGAAAGUGGGGGUACAGCCGCCGCAAUCCUGGCCCAGGAACAUGGGGGUACUUUUCGUCCCAUAGCUUAUUUGUCUAAAACUCUUGAUUCAGUAGCCAGGGGACUUCCUGCUUGUUUGCGUGCAGUGGCUGCCACGGCGAUCAUGGUGCAAGAUGCUGAAAAAAUUGUGUUAUCACAUAAAUUGAUAGUGCAUACUUCUCAUCAGGUUGCUGACGCAAGGUGAAUUUGAGAGUGAUGACCACGAGUGCCUGGACAGAAUCCAGAUUUCGACUGCCUGCAGGCCAGAUGUUUCUGCAUCUGUCCUGGAGGAGGGGAAGAAUUGGUAUAUUGAUGGAUCCUGUUUCAAGCCAAAUGAUAAUGUAUACUUGU